rnacentral:ncRNA from 1 species
AUAAUGAUACUCCCGUCCAGUCACAGCUCGAGUGGCCCAGAGCCGCCGCAAGCAAUGAGGGCGGCUUCGAGAGAUCCUCGGAGGGGCCAGUUGCCCGUG